rnacentral:ncRNA from 2 species
AACGCACUUCGUGGUGAUUUGGGCCGGCCGGCUUGCAGCCACGUUAAACAAGUUGCUAAAUAGGCCGGAGGUGCGAACCC